rnacentral:misc_RNA from 1 species
GAUGAAGAACGUAGCGAAAUGCGAUAAGUAAUGUGGAUUGCAGAAUUCAGUGAAUCAUCGAAUCUUUGAACGCACAUUGCGCCCGCUAGUAUUCUGGCGGGCAUGCCUGUCCGAGCGUCAUUUCAACCCUCAAGCCCCCGGGCUUGGUGUUGGGGAUCGGCGAGCCUCCGCGCCCGCCGUCCCCUAAAUCUAGUGGCGGUCUCGCUGUAGCUUCCUCUGCGUAGUAGCACACCUCGCACUGGGAAACAGCGCGGCCACGCCGUUAAACCCCCAACUUCUGAACGUUUGACCUCGGAUCAGGUAGGAAUACCCGCUGAACUUAAGCAUAUCAAUAAGCGGAGGA